AAAUAAUGCAGCUGAAUGAAGGAUACGUUCAAGAGAAAUCUGUUUACUCUCAUUGGCAGAGAUAAUACUUCAGACAUCAAGGAAUGGAUAAGUAGGUUCCUCCAUGCGUAUACUGAGUACUGUGGACAGUCCUGGUCGCUGCAUUUUUGGAAAAAUGUAAUGGAGUUAGAAAGGUACAGAGAAGAGAUAAUUGCUUUACAGGGAGAGGUGAAAAAGACUAGGAUUCUUCCAGACGGAGAGAAAAAUAACAGGUUAUGCUUGAGGGUCUGCAAAAUCACAAGACUGAAUGAAUGCAGAAAACAAAUUUUUAUUCAACAAAUCCAAAACAGAACCAGCCAGCACUCAGUGAAUCCAUUCAAUAGUCAAAAGAGUUAAAAGAAAUAUGGCAAGAAGCAGACUUCUUACAUCUGUUGCCUCGGACAGCAGCAGUUCAAAAACAGGAUGAAAAAAAUGUAGCAGGUCUAUAACCAGGUACUAUAGCAAAGAAGAAAAAUUGCACCCUUUAAGAUCCCAGAUCUGAUAACUACAGAUUUAUACUUUCUUCAAGAUCAAGAACUUCUGAGUUUGCGCAAGUUCUUAUCAUUCUUAUUCUCUUCUUUUAUAUAGGAUUUUUAUAGGGUUUUCAAAAUCUGGCUGAGGAAAGCCACAUGUAGCUUGGUCUGGCUUUGUAGAUGAGGUUGCUUAAAGUAGGAAAUUGGAUUUGAGAACUCGUGAGGUCACCUUCAGUCUGGAAUAUCCUAUGAGCUUAUGGCUGUAGUAAGCCUAAGAAAUCAAGAGAAAUAGUAUUGAUAGCAUUCUAGUUAUUGAUAGCAUUCAGUACUUUCUUCAACAGAAAGAACACACCGUAGGAAAAAGAACAGCAGUUUGUAAGGCAGAAAAUGAUAGCUCUGCAGUUAUGUUUAACAAAUAUUUAAGUUAGUGAAACAUACUUUGCACAAGCUUAUACUCCAUACACUUCUACUAUUACAGCUAAAAGGGGUAGAGGAACGUCUGUAACUUUAUCCCACAAGAAUUUCAAGUGCCUGCCUAGGGGGAAGAUCAGCCUGGCCCACAGAACAGUUUUAUUCUUCAUUUGCAAGGAAAGUAGUUGAGAUUUCUUGCUUAACAAUAGUUCCAUUAUUAAAGCUCCAAAAUGAGAAACUUGCUUGUCCGUGGAUUCAAAGGGAAUACGAACUGAGAAGUAAGUUUGCCUUUGAAAUAAAACUUUCUUUUGCAACUUGUUUAAGCA
rnacentral:lncRNA from 1 species